AUCAAGACAUAUGUGACUUUGGUUCGUAUGCUGAACAAGAGCAAUGUGUCGCCUGCGAUGAAGGGCAGACAACUUUGGUGAAAAGAGCUAAUUCCCGCUAUUACUGUGUUGAAAACUGCGAACCUGGUUACCGUUUGACUUUUGAUAAACUGACCUGUGAGCCUUGUCCACAAGACAUGUACUGGAGUGAUGCAGAUAAAACAUGUCAUGUCUGUCCAUACACUUCAUACAACUCAACUUCCUGCUCCUUUGGAGAAAUGAGGAGUAUUUACAAUCCACUUAUCAACGUUGAACUGAACAUUACACUGUGGACUCCAAAAUGUAUGAGAAACGACACUGACUAUUUCAACAACAUUGAAGAAAAAGAAUUAAUUCGAAUUUUAGUUUUUGGCAGUUACCC
rnacentral:sRNA from 1 species